rnacentral:rRNA from 1 species
GACGGAGGGGGCAAGCGUUGUCCGGACUCACUGGGCGUAAAGGGCGCGUAGGCGGCCACCGCAAGUCAGUUGUGAAAUCUCUGGGCUUAACCCAGAACGGUCAGCUGAUACUGCGGGGCUAGAGUGCAGAAGGGGCAACUGGAAUUCUCGGUGUAGCGGUGAAAUGCGUAGAUAUCGAGAGGAACACCUGCGGCGAAGGCGGGUUGCUGGGCUGACACUGACGCUGACAGCGCGAAAGCUAGGGGAGCGAACGGG